UCAAAGAGUAACUUUCAUUGGUUGAUGUAAAUAGAUAAUCCAAUGAAAAUACGGAUAACAUUUACAGUAAAAUUUGCCGGUGUCGACGUACGAAAGGAAGACGAAGACUCCACGAAAAUCCAUCGGCAUCGUGGCAGUUUGGACGAAUUAAAAGAAUAUCAAAAUGUGGUCUCUAUUUGGGAAGAUGAUGCUGGUUUUGCUGCUGGUGCUUCCAUGUACAGUUAUGGUAUUUGAAAAUGACAAGAUGUCUGUGUAUGCUCAGGACGGUGAUGCAGUGGAAGGUGAAGAUGACGAAGACACUGUUGUUGAAAAUGAGGAUGGUACAGAUGAUGCAGAACAGGCAGUUACCGAAACCGAGAAGGGAGAAGAUGAAGAGGAAUCAACAGAUGACGAGCAAUUAAAACCUUCACCCGAUGCUGAUGCAGUUAUGCUCUUUACAAAGCCUGUUGGCACAACUGAUUUGCCGGCUGGUGAGACUAUUCGAUUUUUAGUUGGAUUCACAAACAAAGGAGAGAAGACUUUCACUGUCCAGUCACUGGAGUGCUCUUUCAGAUACCCUCAAGAUUACAACUUCUUCAUUCAGAAUUAUACUACAGCCCAGUAUAACCAGGAGGUGGCUUCCAGGAAACAGGCUACGUUUGAAUAUGGAUUUACCCCUAACGAAGGAUAUGCCGGUAGACCAUUCGGAUUGUCCAUCUUGCUGAAUUACAAGGAUGAGGAUGGAAACGCAUUCAUGAGUGCAGUUUUCAAUGAAACUGUGAACAUAGUGGAACCAGAUGAGGGAUUGGAUGGAGAAACGUUCUUCCUGUAUGUAUUCUUAGCAGCUAUUGCGGUUUUGCUAAUGGUUGGUGCUCAGCAACUCCUGGCAAAUUUCAGCGUAAGUAUAAAAAAUAGACCAGUUUUCAUAGUUUCUGUUUGUAGGAAGAUGGUUAGUAGAGCGGGGACGAUGGCUUGACAAAUUGUUAAACCUGUAGUUUGUGAUGUUGAACAUGAUUCCUCUCAAAUUAAGUAAUGAAUUUUACCAUACUCUAAGUGCAGAAAGGUCAUUUUUCAUUUUCAAUCUACUUGCAAUGCAUUUAAUUUAAUAAUUGAUUUGUAUUCCUUGUGAUUUGUUGACACCAACAGACAAAACUAGUGAAUAUGAAUACAUUGCAAGUAAAUUUUACCUGCAAAAGGGUUAAGUUCUUCAUAAUUCCACUUAGGAACUCCAGGUAGAAAUUUAAAAUAUACUCCCCCGAAAAGAUUGACAUUGCUACAAACCUCAUGUGCGAACCUUUUAAACCUCUCAUACUGGAGUGAGAAACUUGUAGAAUGUAGAACAAUGUAGAAAUGAAUAGUUGAAUGCAGGUUCAGAGGAAGCAAUAUACUUUCAUAGAUUUUGUCUUUCCUAAAACUUGCAAAAUUAAUUGGAGUUGUUUGAACCCUUAUGUGAUUUUGAUGCAGUAAGGGUAUAGAAGCUUCAUACAUUUGAUUGCUGUUGUUUUUUAUAGCAUAAGUAUCCCCAAGUUAUAUAUAUAUAUAUUGACUUUUCCCUAUGUACUCAAUACGUUUAUCCCUACACUAUCAUUUCAUGUUUUAACAAUGCCCUGCUUCAGAUUCAAACUCUGGACCACUUGAGUGCAAGGCAGACACAUUACCAACAGAGCUAUGAGGCCCCUUAAGCAGUUUAAUGAUAUUUAUGACCUAAAUACCAUGACUAAUUUUGAUAAUGGAUAAUAAUUUUGAUAAAGAAGUCUUUCGGUUUUUAAUACAAAGUUAUGUUUAAACUAAACCCACACCAUUAAUGGAAAAAAUAUUCAGAUGAUUGUGUCCAACAUCUGCAGAACAAAUAAAUGGCACGGUUUGCAGAAUGAAAAAAUUUUUUGUUGUGCCUCUAGAAUAAAGAGUGUGCAAGAAUUUGAAUAAAAAAAAAACCUGGUCAGAGGAUCUGACUAUUUAAAGAGAAGAAUUUAAGAUCUAAAAGAUCUAAGCACUUGACCAAUUUUAGCAUGAACAUCAUAAAUGAAUUUCUUCUACAGUUGUAAGUGCAUGAAUUUGGCUAUUUUAAUGAGAAAGGGUCACCAAUGGUGAAUACCUGAGGACUUUUGCUGAGACAUUAGAAUUGGACAAAUUUACAUUCAGCAUUAUGAUUUAAUGUUACAUUUUGAGUGUAUUAUGCCAAUAUAGUUGUCAAAAGUUUUGACACGUAGUGCAGGGUCAUACUCUGUGUGUUAAACCUCUUGAGUACUAAUUUUGGCAUAGUACUCACAAAAUGUAACUUGAAGAUAUAUUAUGUAACAUGCUAAAAGAUUGCUUGCUAUAGUCAUCCAUCUAGCAUACUGUAUAUCGGGUUUUUUCCGCGUGUGUCCAAUUUCCGCUUUGUUCGCGACGAUUUCCGAAUCGCGGGAAAGAAAUCCGCGUAAAUUUGAUACAAAGUUUGCUUUUAUGAUAAAGUUAUACGGCCGAUCUACCACGCACAUCUCAAAGUCUGUCGAAAUUCACAACCAUGAAAACAACGGCCUUGAUUCCCCGAUUUUUGCUUUUAUUAAAUAAACAAUAACUCCGGUUUUGUUAAUCAACCUCAUCCGACCCUGUGUUGAUUAUACGUUAACAAGUUGAUGGCUUGGGUAUAAUAAUUGAGUCAGUGUGUCGAUUUAACAAGAUCACAGCCGAACUAUUAGCAGUGCGUUUUAAAACAAAAGUGUUAGGGACGAUAAUUCCCAGAAUAGUCAUGCUCGACUGAACUCGAAAGUAGGAAUCGCGUUAUAAUCGAAAAAUGUACAGUCAUUGAAUAAAGGUCAAAUUUCGUGAAAUCGCACGAAAAUGUUGUAAAAAUCACGGUCGUUGGUCGCGUUAGACAAGUGGUCGUUUAAUACAGGUACAAUAGAUAGGGUAACGCCCUGGGGUGGAUUAUUACAGUCACAUAUAGCAGCGAGUCGCUUAUUUACUUGAAUGCAAAGUCGUUGUGUGAUCAGUAAUUCAGAAAUCUUGAAAAUCGUUUCAUUGUGUGAAUUUUUUGCAUCGAAAAUUAAGAGUUAUACUUUCACAAGCUGGUUUCUUUUAUAAGUUUAAAUAAUCGUGAAUAUUUUCACGAUGACUUUGCAAUAGUGAAAAUUUGAUUCACGUAAAUUUAAUACGCUAUUUUAGGUUCUGAUUCGCGGAAAAAACCUGAUAUACGGUAUAUUAGAUAAACGCUACUUCAGUCAAUUUUGAGUGUUCAGAGAACUUGUUUAGUGUUAUGUUCAGAGAACUUGUUAGGUGAUGUGGUAUGACCAAUUAAAAUUAAUUGAUAGAUUAUCAUCCCCGCCCGCCCCUUAAAAAGGGUCCACCCAGAUUUUUUUUUU